rnacentral:snoRNA from 1 species
UUAUGCCAUUUGGUAUCUGACUCAUUGUCUACUUUUGUGACUAUGUGUCUCGAAAUAUGGCAUAUAAUGAGGGGGAACGGAUCUUGCGACAUUGAUGGCUCCUGUAUGAGCCUCCAAUUACUAUAUAGCCGUUUACAUGU